rnacentral:tRNA from 1 species
GUCACUUUGCCGGAGUGGUUAACGGGAUCGCCUGCUAUUUAUAGCAACCAGCGGUUGGUCUUUGACCGCGAGUGUUCGAAUCGCUCAGGUGACG